CGUACCGGACAAGAGGGCAGUUGGAAGGGGAUGAUCCGAACGUCAGACGGCGGCAUGGACCGUCCGCCCUACUCCCCACAGUGUCUCGUUCUCGGUCCGGAGCCAGACGUGGGUUGGGCGGGACCCAAAAGGAAGCCCCAUCAACAGGCCCUCGAUCUCGGUGAGCGGCGCUGGCUUGUCGGGAACGGUGAAGAACCUGCCACGUUGUUUUUUGGCCACGGGCACCUCUGUUCGCUGCUUCUGAGAACCUUCAGGCAGGGACGGGCGGUCCCGUUAGAGGUCCGUGUUGCUCUCCACUGCAAAUUGUGUCCUUGUUGAGGCACACAUCGGAGCCGCUGGGGAGCUCCAGAAGCAUCUGCGGACACGGGGCACCCAGGGGACCCCAGGCUGCUGUCCCCACAUUAACCUGGACGCCCCGAGGCAGAGGAUGUUAAGAAAGAAGAUGGGGGGUUGAGUCCCGGAGGCCCCAACUUUCAACUCCAAGACCUUGGACAGAUAGAUCAAACUCACAAGCCGUGUGUGUCCUCAUUUGAAAACCGCAAAUAAUACUUAGCCUGCUUCCCCGUUGAAUUUGGUAACAGUGUCUGGAAAAGGAAGUAAUGGACCCCAGCGCUCUGCACGUGCCAAGCCAUGGGUUAUUUCUGUCGUCUGCACGUGGCCUUCCCGCCUCUUCCCUGCCCUCGCCCACCUGUCCGCCGGGCGUCCCGCCGGCCUGGAGGUGGGAGUUUGUCUCAGGUCGCCCGGGGUCCCCUCGUGCCCCGAUCAGAGCUGUCGG